rnacentral:rRNA from 1 species
UUGGCCUACGGGAGGCAGCAGUGAGGAAUAUUGGUCAAUGGCCGAGAGGCUGAACCAGCCAAGUCGCGUGAGGGAAGAAGGUACUUAGUAUUGUAAACUUCUUUUGUCGGGGAACAAAGGCGGAGACGCGUCUCCGGAUGAGUGUACCCGAAGAAAAAGCAUCGGCUAACUCCGUGCCAGCAGCCGCGGUAAUACGGAGGAUGCGAGCGUUAUCCGGAUUUAUUGGGUUUAAAGGGUGCGCAGGCGGGAGAUCAAGUCAGCGGUAAAAUGUCGGGGCUCAACCCCGGCCGUCCGUUGAAACUGGU